rnacentral:rRNA from 1 species
UACGUAGGGUGCAAGCGUUGUUCGGAAUUACUGGGCGUAAAGCGCACGUAGGCGGAUAUUUAAGUCAGGGGUGAAAUCCCAGAGCUCAACUCUGGAACUGCCUUUGAUACUGGGUAUCUUGAGUAUGGAAGAGGUAAGUGGAAUUGCGAGUGUAGAGGUGAAAUUCGUAGAUAUUCGCAGGAACACCAGUGGCGAAGGCGGCUUACUGGUCCAUAACUGACGCUGAGGUGGCGAAAAGCGUG